UACAGAGGUCUCAAGCGUUGUUCGGAUUCAUUGGGCGUAAAGGGUGCGUAGGCGGCGCGGUAAGUCGGGUGUGAAAUCUCGGAGCUUAACUCCGAAACUGCAUUCGAUACUGCCGUGCUUGAGGACUGGAGAGGAGACUGGAAUUUACGGUGUAGCGGUGAAAUGCGCAGAUAUCAGGAGGAACACCAAUGGCGAAGGCAGCACUCUGGGACGUGACUGACGCUGAGACGCGAAAGCGUGGGGAGCGAACAGG
rnacentral:rRNA from 1 species